rnacentral:rRNA from 1 species
CAGAAUGUCGCGGUGAAUACGUUCCCGGGCCUUGUACACACCGCCCGUCACACCAUGAGAGCUGGUAACACCCGAAGUCCGUGAGGUAACCGUAAGGAGCCAGCGGCCGAAGGUGGGAUUAGUGAUUGGGGUGAAGUCGUAACAAGGUAGCCGUAGGAGAACCUGCGGCUGGAUCACCUCCUUUCUAAGGAGA